rfam:Bacteriophage KVP40, complete genome.
AGUCGGGUAGCUCAGUGGUAGAGCACGAAGAAUGAUACUGACAAGUAUCGCUCCAGCACUCCUUCAAUUGCCUGUUAAGCACGUGGUCGCUGGUUCGAAUCCAGCCCCGACUA